GCAGUGUACCCGCGGCAAGACGGAAAGACCCCGUGAACCUUUACUAUAGCUUGACACUGAACAUUGAGCCUUGAUGUGUAGGAUAGGUGGGAGGCUUUGAAGCGUGGACGCCAGUCUGCGUGGAGCCGACCUUGAAAUACCACCCUUUAAUGUUUGAUGUUCUAACGUGGAUCCGUAAUCCGGGUUGCGGACAGUGUCUGGUGGGUAGUUUGACUGGGGCGGUCUCCUCCUAAAGAGUAACGGAGGAGCACGAAGGUUGGCUAAUCCUGGUCGGACAUCAGGAGGUUAGUGCAAUGGCAUAAGCCAGCUUGACUGCGAGCGUGACGGCGCGAGCAGGUGCGAAAGCAGGUCAUAGUGAUCCGGUGGUUCUGAAUGGAAGGGCCAUCGCUCAACGGAUAAAAGGUACUCCGGGGAUAACAGGCUGAUACCGCCCAAGAGUUCAUAUCGACGGCGGUGUUUGGCACCUCGAUGUCGGCUCAUCACAUCCUGGGGCUGAAGUAGGUCCCAAGGGUAUGGCUGUUCGCCAUUUAAAGUGGUACGCGAGCUGGGUUUAGAACGUCGUGAGACAGUUCGGUCCCUAUCUGCCGUGGGCGCUGGAGAACUGAGGGGGGCUGCUCCUAGUACGAGAGGACCGGAGUGGACGCAUCACUGGUGUUCGGGUUGUCAUGCCAAUGGCACUGCCCGGUAGCUAAAUGCGGAAGAGAUAAGUGCUGAAAGCAUCUAAGCACGAAACUUGCCCCGAGAUGAGUUCUCCCUGAGACUUAGAGUCUCCUGAAGGAACGUUGAAGACGACGACGUUGAUAGGCCGGGUGUGUAAGCGCAGCGAUGCGUUGAGCUAACCGGUACUAAUGAACCGUGAGGCUUAACCUUACAACGCCGAAG
rnacentral:rRNA from 2 species